UGUCUCGGAUUCUCCAGCAUCUGCAGUUCUUACUAUCUCAGGUAAGGAGAGCAGUUUCCUUUCCUAAAGGGCAUUACUGAACCAGUCAGGGAAUACUGGAAUAACAAGUUGAGAGCUGGAUGAACACAGCAGGCCGAGCAGCAUCAGAGGAGCAGGAAGGCUGACGGUUCGGGCCGAGACCCUUCACUGAUGCAGAUCAUGAAGCAUCUGUGGAGAAAGAACCAGAGGGUAAAUUUGAUACCAGCAUAUGCCCAUGGAUUAAAAUAUCAGUGGAAAAGUUGACUGUGUUAUCUCGAUCCUGAGUUUACAUUUUCUCACUCACUCUUCACAUCCCUCCUGCCUCCAACUCAAAGUUCUGCAUAUGCUACAUAUACACACAAUGAGAGUUCCACAUACUUCUCACUAUCUGCAAAAUUAAAGUGAUUAAACAGUUUGGAACCAGGAUUGCUGACUUUUAGAACAACAAGAUGUAUUUCAGAUUAUGACAUUCCUGUUCUUCAUCUCCGAUGUUGUGUUGUGCUGUGGACUGUUUUAUUCUAACACUACAGCUGCACAGGUGAGGAAGUAGCUCAGUACUAGAGCAUCUGAUUACUUAUCAAUGUGUUCCCCAUUUCAAGUCUGUGUGCAUUCUUUCUCGUCUUUAUUAAGGUUGUCCAACUCUCUUUCUACAGGGGUCUGUUGUGCCACCGUGGGAGUGCCCUCAGAGAUGUGCCAUCUGUCUGAACAGGGUUGAUUAAAAGGAAAUCUAACUGGAGCAAUCAAGAACAUAAUGUUGCAUGAGCUGUUUGGUUGCCUUAUUGAAAAAGCAAGACUUGAUACGUUUGUUUUGGACCAUUGGAUUCUCUGACGGUAAAGAUGGCAGUUUCCUUCCCUAAAGGGCAUGCGUGGCAGGAUUUGAACCUGGUUCUCCAGAACAUUACCUGGGUCUUGAGAUUAACAGUCCAGCGAAAAUGCCACUAGGCCAGCAGCCCCCCAAUUCAUUGUCAGUAAAGCGAUUUGUGUGGGAGGGAGUCACAAAUGGUGCUAAAUAAUAUAUUUUCGUCUAUGAUCUCCUUUGGAAUUCUUUCGCUGAAAGUGAAGAUGCCCAUCUUUCCUCAGUCUUUUCCUCAUGGCUUAGGCCUCAAUUUUCAGCAAUAAACCUCAUGGUACUCUUCCAAA